CCCGACUACACGAAGCUGGAAUCGCUAGUAAUCGCGAAUCAGAAUGUCGCGGUGAAUACGUUCCCGGGUCUUGUACACACCGCCCGUCACACCAUGGGAUCGGGAAUGCCCGAAGUCAGUGACCCAACCUAUAGGAGGGAGCUGCCGAAGGCAGGUCUGAUAACUGGGGUGAAGUCGUAACAAGGUACC
rnacentral:rRNA from 1 species